rnacentral:rRNA from 1 species
UACAGAGGGUGCGAGCGUUGUCCGGAAUCACUGGGCGUAAAGGGCGCGUAGGCGGGAUGGCAAGUCGGUCGUGAAAUCCCUCGGCUCAACCGAGGAACGUCGAUCGAUACUGCUGUUCUUGAGGAUUGCAGAGGAGACUGGAAUUCCCGGUGUAGCGGUGAAAUGUGUAGAGAUCGGGAGGAACACCGGUGGCGAAGGCGGGUCUCUGGGCAAUUCCUGACGCUGAGGCGCGAAAGCGUGGGGAGCAAACGGG